rnacentral:lncRNA from 1 species
UUGAUUCUCGGUGAACAUGAAUUUGUUGCUCCCUUUCCUUUUGUUCCUACUUUUUUAGGUAAAAACUUACUAACUUCUCUGAUUACUCUACCAUCCCUGUUUCUUUCAGAAGUCUCUGGAGCUCAUUUUCUUUUUACUUGGUAUUUUUUUAAGGCAGCUUUUUUGCUGCUGUGAUCACCAGACCUCACAAGAACAACCAGAGGAGGAAAGGUUUGUGUCACAGUUUCAGACUCUCAGUCCAUGGAUGACUAACUCCAUUGCUCGGCCUGAGGGGAGCCAGAACAUCAUGGUGGAAGGGUGUGGUGGAAGAAUCAGCUCAGGACAUGGCCACCAGGAAACAGAAAGAGAUCCCCUCACCAGGAACAAAACACAAACCCCAGAGGCACACCCCCAGUGACCCACCUCCUGCAGCCACACCCCACCUGCCUACAGUUACCACCCAGCUAAUCCCUAGCAGGGCAUUAGUGCAACGAUCAGGUUAAGGGCCUCAUAACUCGGGGUCAUUUUACCUCUGAAUUUUCUUGCAUUGCCUCACACAGGGGCUUUGGGGAACACCUCAUAUCUGAAACUUAACCGCCCUCCUCUAAGGAUGUCUUCCAGGUGAUGUUUCAUAGCUGUUCUUCUAAGGUUUGUGUGCCUGAAGAGAGCUCUGAUGCGCUUUCACUUUUAGAUGAAUUCAUCAGGCUAUGCAGGGCUCUGAGCCAGGCUCAAGAGGUUCCUCGCUUAGCAGAGGUCCUGCCUGUUCACCCAGGGCGGCUGGUGACCGACCGUAGGUAGGUUCCUGUUGCUUUGUUGGUCAUCUCCCUUUCUUCUCUCACAGG